AUGGAUGAAUUCACGGAUAUGGUGAAGUUGGAGUUCCUCGAUCUGUCUAGGAAUGUUACAAUACAAUAUUUGCCAAGCAUGUCAGGGGCAACAAGCCUCAAGAAUAUGGUUCUAGAUGGUUGUGUUGGGCUCAAGCGUGUUGAAGGGCUCCCCGUGUCACUUGAAUCAUUCAGCUUAGAUGCAGGGUCCGGAAAAGAUGAUUGCAAGAAGGCCAAAAUAACCCACAUCACCAUGGCCGGAUGUGCAAAAUUAUCUGACUUUGUGUUGCGUGGAUCACUUCCAAAGCUUGAGGAGCUGAAUUUGUCCCACACAUCCGUCAAAACACUUGACCUCAAGGAUGAGGUGGUGGAGGUCCCAUGUCUCCAACGAAUCAUCAUGAUGGGUUGUGAGCAGCUUCGUGCCGUGCUUUGGCCAAAAAUGGGGGUGCCCGGACUAACUUUGCUAGUCAUUGACAACCGAGGAGGAGAAAAGGUCGAAAGAACACUACCAGAUUUAGACAAGCUAAAAAAGGGACAUCAUCAUGUUUAUGUUGCUACAAUGGACAUGAGAUUCAUUCAGUCACUAGUGAUAAGAAGUCACCGUAUCUUUUUGUCCCCAAAGACCGUUGGAUGUAGUCUAAACCUCUGCAUAUCUGCUGGCAGUCAGUGGUGCAGCAACGAGAAGAUGGGCCCUGACAGCAUAUCAGGGCCACCCCUAGCGAUGUCAUUAUUUCCCAAUCACUCUUACAACACCUACAAUGAUUUUGCUGUUGAUGACAUAAAUAUUGGUCAUGACUACAGCAGCGCAGUGCAGUUUCAGCUGGGGGACUACCAUGUGGAGAUUGGUGAUGGAUUUAGCAACACUAGCGUGGAUACCAUCCGAGGAAUGGAAGCUAUCAUCUUAGUGAUGGACAAGGCUGGGUCGCUGCAUGUGCAUGAUAAUUCUUCCAUCACUAGUGCCAACCCUGGAAACAUCCCUGGACUCAUGAAGUCCGGUCAAGUGCUGAAACUUGGUUGGGAUUGUCUCAAAUGGUGUCGUGUGGAGCGAUGUACCAAGCUACACACAGUAUUCGAUGCUAACCACGUUUAUUGCUCUUUUAAAGAACUAGAGAGCAUUUGGGCAGCUGAUCUUCCAAUGGCCUGCUGCAUUUGGAGCAGCGAAGGAUCGGCGAGGUAUUACCCAUCACGGCGUCAUAGGUAUGGGAAACUGCAGAGCAUACACCUUCACUCCUGCCCGAGGCUCACAUUUAUCCUCCCACUGUCAUGGCUGGACACCUUGAGAAACUUGGAGACCAUCCACAUCGUCUUCUGUGGCGAUCUGAAAGUGGUGUUCCCGGUGGAGCAGAAGCUCGACCUGAGCAUUUCAACAUACACACCUAGGGCGUUCAUAAUUGGUACACUGGAGUUCCCCAACCUGAAGCACGUGUACCUGCACGACCUCCACAAGCUGCAGCAUAUAUGUGAAGCCAAGAUAUUUGCUCCCAAGCUCGAGACCAUCAGGGUCAGGGGCUGCUGGGGUCUGAGGCGCCUCCCAGCCAUCGGCCGAGACAACCACCCUGUCGUGGACUGCGAGAAGGAUUGGUGGGACAAGCUGGAGUGGGACGGUCAGGAGGCCGGCCAUCAUCCUAACCUCUUCAAGACGCACCACCCGUCUUAUUACAAGAUGCCCCUGGAGAGAAUUUCCGUUCUCCGGUGA
rnacentral:rRNA from 1 species